rnacentral:rRNA from 1 species
UACGGGGGGGGCAAGCGUUGUUCGGAAUUACUGGGCGUAAAGGGCUCGUAGGCGGCCGACUAAGUCGGACGUGAAAUCCCUCGGCUUAACCGGGGAAUGGCGUCCGAUACUGGUCGGCUCGGAGUGUGGGAGAGGGAUGCGGAAUUCCAGGUGUAGCGGUGAAAUGCGUAGAUAUCAGGAGGAACACCGGUGGUGUAGACGGCUUUCUGGACCGUAACUGACGCUGAAACACGAAAGCGUGGGUAGCAAACAGG